rnacentral:rRNA from 1 species
CCUACGGGAGGCAGCAGUGGGGAAUAUUGCACAAUGGGGGAAACCCUGAUGCAGCGACGCCGCGUGAGUGAAGAAGUAAUUCGUUAUGUAAAGCUCUAUCAGCAGGGAAGAAAAUGACGGUACCUGAGUAAGAAGCCCCGGCUAACUACGUGCCAGCAGCCGUGGUAAUACGUAGGGGGCAAGCGUGAUCCGGAUUUACUGGGUGUAAAGGGAGCGUAGACGGCAGUGCAAGUCUGGAGUGAAAGGCUGGGGGUCAACCCCCGGACUGCUCUGGAAACUGUACGGCUGGAGUGCAGGAGAGGUAAGUGGAAUUCCUAGUGUAGCGGUGAAAUGCGUAGAUAUUAGGAGGAACCCCAGUGGCGAAGGCGGCUUACUGGACUGUAACUGACGUUGAGGCUCGAAAGCGUGGGGAGCAAACAGGAUUAGAUACCCGAGUAGUC